rnacentral:rRNA from 1 species
UAGGCUCAGAUUGAACGCUGGCGGCAGGCUUAACACAUGCAAGUCGAGCGGGCGAGGUUACUUCGGUAACUGAGCUAGCGGCGGACGGGUGAGUAAUGCUUAGGAAUCUGCCUAUUAGUGGGGGACAACAUUCCGAAAGGAAUGCUAAUACCGCAUACGCCCUACGGGGGAAAGCAGGGGAUCUUCGGACCUUGCGCUAAUAGAUGAGCCUAAGUCAGAUUAGCUAGUUGGUGGGGUAAAGGCCUACCAAGGCGACGAUCUGUAGCGGGUCUGAGAGGAUGAUCCGCCACACUGGGACUGAGACACGGCCCAGACUCCUACGGGAGGCAGCAGUGGGGAAUAUUGGACAAUGGGCGAAAGCCUGAUCCAGCCAUGCCGCGUGUGUGAAGAAGGCCUUUUGGUUGUAAAGCACUUUAAGCGAGGAGGAGGCUACCGAGAUUAAUACUCUUGGAUAGUGGACGUUACUCGCAGAAUAAGCACCGGCUAACUCUGUGCCAGCAGCCGCGGUAAUACAGAGGGUGCGAGCGUUAAUCGGAUUUACUGGGCGUAAAGCGUGCGUAGGCGGCUUUUUAAGUCGGAUGUGAAAUCCCUGAGCUUAACUUAGGAAUUGCAUUCGAUACUGGGAAGCUAGAGUAUGGGAGAGGAUGGUAGAAUUCCAGGUGUAGCGGUGAAAUGCGUAGAGAUCUGGAGGAAUACCGAUGGCGAAGGCAGCCAUCUGGCCUAAUACUGACGCUGAGGUACGAAAGCAUGGGGAGCAAACAGGAUUAGAUACCCUGGUAGUCCAUGCCGUAAACGAUGUCUACUA